UACGUAGGGUGCGAGCGUUAAUCGGAAUUACUGGGCGUAAAGCGUGCGCAGGCUGUUCUGUAAGUCAGAUGUGAAAUCCCCGAGCUCAACUUGGGAACUGCGUUUGAAACUACAGGACUAGAAUAUGUCAGAGGGGGGUAGAAUUCCACGUGUAGCAGUGAAAUGCGUAGAGAUGUGGAGGAAUACCAAUGGCGAAGGCAGCCCCCUGGGAUAAUAUUGACGCUCAUGCACGAAAGCGUGGGGAGCAAACAGA
rnacentral:rRNA from 1 species